rnacentral:rRNA from 1 species
AGAGUUUGAUCCUGGCUCAGGAUGAACGCUAGCGGCAGGCCUAACACAUGCAAGUCGAACGGUAACAUUUCCAGCUUGCUGGAAGAUGACGAGUGGCGCACGGGUGCGUAACGCGUAUGCAACUUACCUAUAACUAAGAGAUAGCCCCGAGAAAUUGGGAAUAAUACCUUAUAGUACCAUGAUUUGGCAUCAUUUUAUGGUUAAAGAUUUAUUGGUUAUAGAUGGGCAUGCGUCCCAUUAGUUUGUUGGUGAGGUAACGGCUCACCAAGACUGCGAUCAGUAGGGGGUCUGAGAGGAUGAUCCCCCACACUGGUACUGAGACACGGACCAGACUCCUACGGGAGGCAGCAGUAGGGAAUAUUGGUCAAUGGGCGAGAGCCUGAACCAGCCAUGCCGCGUGUAGGAAGACGGCCUUCUGGGUUGUAAACUACUUUUAUAUAGGAACAAAUAGGUCAUGCGUGACAAGUUGAGUGUACUAUAUGAAUAAGCACCGCUAACU